GGAGUCUAACAUGUGCGCAAGUCAUUGGGUUGCAAAACCUAAAGGCAAAAUGAAAGUGAAGGGCUUCGGCCUUAAGGGGGACCGGCAUUUGAUUUAGUUCAUUUGAACUGUGCCUCGCACUCCCGGGGUGUCUAUAACUUUCUCUUCGGAGGGUUUUGACACACCUAGAGCGUACACGUUGGGACCCGAAAGAUGGUGAACUAUGCCUGGCCAGGACGAAGCCAGGGGAAACCCUGGUGGAGGUCCGUAGCGAUUCUGACGUGCAAAUCGAUCGUCUGAGCUAGGUAUAGGGGCGAAAGACUAAUCGAACCAUCUAGUAGCUGGUUCCCUCCGAAGUUUCCCUCAGGAUAGCUGGUGCCCGAGUGUCAAGAGUCUCAUCCGGUAAAGCGAAUGAUUAGAGGUCUUGGGGUCGAAACGACCUCAACCUAUUCUCAAACUUUAAAUAGAUGAGAACUUUGGCUUUCUUGACUAUAUUGAAAUAUAUAUAUGAUGAAGCCAAAGACUUGGAUCAGGGUACUAAGUGGGCCAAUUUUG
rnacentral:rRNA from 1 species